GUGCUAAGGUAGCAUAAUAAUUUGUCUUUUAAUUGGGGGCUUGUAUGAAAGGCUGUAUAGUAAAAUAAUUUCUAGAUUUUAGGUAUCGAAUUUGGAGUUUAAGUAAGAAUACUUAAAUGUUUAUAAAAGACGAUAAGACCCUAAAAGCUUUAUUUUAUUAUGUUAAUUACUUAGUUUAUAUUUUUAAUGAUUAAGAUUGAUAUUUUUAACUGGGGUAGUUUCUUUGUGUUUAUAAAAUAGAGAUGGACUUAAACUAGGGUUUGUGAACCUUCAGAUAAGGGUACUAGAUUUAGUUACUUUAGGGAUAACAACAUGAUAGUUUUGGAGAGACCUUACUGAUAAAAAAGCUUGUGACCUCGAUGUUGAAUUA
rnacentral:rRNA from 1 species